rnacentral:rRNA from 1 species
CACGUAGGAACCUGACGCGCAGUGGGGGAUAACGCUGGGAAACCGGCGCUAAUACCGCAUGUGGUUCUCUUGGGGGACCAGGAGAAAGAAAGCAGUGAUGCGCUGUGUGAGGGGCCUGGGUCCGAUUAGCUAGUUGGUGAGGUAAGGGCUCACCAAGGCGACGAUCGGUAGCUGGUCUGAGAGGAUGGUCAGCCACACUGGGACUGAGACACGGCCCAG